AUCAUUGAUGGGCUGCCUUCUGCACCUCCCCAUCACCUCCUCCACCCCCACUGGGGAUUGAGCCUGGGCCCCAACUGGGAAUCUGUGACCUGGUUCAUAGGUCAACACUUAACCGCUGAACUACCACAGCUGGGCAAAAGCAUUUCUUUCAAUUGAAGUGAAAUUCAUAUAAAACCAACCAUUUUAAUGUGAUUCCAUUUCAUUUAGUAUAUUCAUGAUGUGGUACAACCAUCAUCUCUAGUUCCAAAAUAGUUUCAUCACCUCUAAAGGGAACCCCUUAUCCAUUAAGCAGUCACUUCCUACCCCUCCAGUCUUGGCAACCUCUAGUCUGCUCAAUGGAUUUCCCUAUUCUGGAUAUUUCAUAUAAAUGGAAUCAUAUAAUAUGUGACCUUUUAUGUCUGGUUUCUUUUACUUAGCACAAUGUUUUUAAGGCUAAUCCAUGUUGUGUCAGUACUUCGUUCCUUUGUAUGGCUGAAUAAUAUUCCAUUGUAUGGUUAUGCCACAUUUUCUUUAUCCAAAUGGAUAUUUGGCUUGUUUCCACCUUUUGGCUAUUUUGUGAAUAAUGUUGCUGUGAACAUUUGUGUACAAGUUUUGUCUGGGCAUGAUUUCAGUUCUUUCAGUUAUUUAAGUACUAAAAAGUGGUUGCGGGGCCAUGUGGAUAUUGCGUUUAACUUUUUGAGAAGCUGCCAAAAUGUUUUCCACAGUGGCCACACAAUUUUACAUUCCCACCAGCAAUGUAUGAGUUUCAGUUUCUCCAUAUCCUCACCAACUUAUUUUACAUUUUAAAAAAUUUAGUCAUGGAAGUGAAUGUGAGGUGGCAUCUCGACCAAUGCAUUUCAAAGUUGCUUAGUCCAAUCAGUUAUGUUGUUGCAGUCAUGAAGUAGAUUAUUCACAAUGGAUUAUACAACCCCCUAUAUUUUUUCCAGCUAACUUCUCAUCUUUAGCAAUUCCUACUUUUAUAAGCUUCUGUGAAGCUAGAAAGGUCUUAUUGCUUCUUUUAAAAAGAUGCAGUUAGAAAAACAUUACACACACACACACACACACACACACACACACACAGGCAAUCCCAAAGCCCUGGAGUGUAGUAAAUAAAUUAGAAGUCUAUGAUAAAA